AACGAACGCUGGCGGCAUGCCUAACACAUGCAAGUCGAACGAGACCUUCGGGUCUAGUGGCGCACGGGUGCGUAACGCGUGGCAAACUGCCUUUAAGUUCGGAAUAACCCAGCGACAUACGCGCUAAUACCGGAUGAUGUCUUCGGUCAAAAGCUUGAUCGCCUUUAGAUGGGCCUGCGUUGGAUUAGCUAGUUGGUGGGGUAAAGGCCUACCAAGGCGACGAUCAAUAGCUGGUCUGAGAGGAUGAUCAGCCACACUGGGACUGAGACACGGCCCAGACUCCUACGGGAGGCAGCAGUGGGGAAUAUGGGACAAUGGGCGAGAGUCUGAUCCAGCAAUGCCGCGUGAGUGAUGAAGGCCUUAGGGUUGUAAAGCUCUUUUACCCGAGAUGAUAAUGACAGUAUCGGGAGAAUAAGCUCCGGCUAACUCCGUG
rnacentral:rRNA from 1 species